rnacentral:tRNA from 3 species
GCUGGCGAGUGAAACGGAUAUAUAAAUCACACUUGGCUCAUACCCAAGUAAUAGUGGGUUCGACUCCCAUGCUUCAGCA